AGGCAGCAGGCACGCAAAUUACCCACUCCCGGCACGGGGAGGUAGUGACAAAAAAUAACGAUACGGGACUCUUAUGAGGCCCCGUAAUCGGAAUGAGUACACUUUAAAUCCUUUAACAAGGAUCCAUUGAAGGGCAAGUCUGGUGCCAGCAGCCGCGGUAAUUCCAGCUUCAAUAGCGUAUAUUAAAGUUGUUGCGGUUAAAAAGCUCGUAGUUGGUUCUGCGUGCCACGCUGUCGGUUCGCCGCCUGCCGGUGUAACUGGCAUGCCGUGGCAUGUCCUGUCGGUGGCGUUCGGGAGCCUCGUUAGGUGCCGGCCCUUGCCCUAAAGCUUGGUGCUCGGAGGCCGGGGGUAUACCCGUUCGCCUAUCUAUCCUACCUAGGUGCUCUUCACCGAGUGUCGAGGUAGGCCGACACGUUUACUUUGAACAAAUUAGAGUGCUCAAAGCAGGCUGAAAUCUCUGCCUGAAUAGUGGUGCAUGGAAUAAUAAAACAGGACCUUGGUUCUAUUUUGUUGGUUCUUAGGAACACAAGGUAAUGAUCAAUACGGACAGGCGGGGGCAUUCGUAUUGCGACGUUAGAGCAACACGGGAAACCUCACCAGGCCAGGACAUUGGAAGGAUUGACAGAUUGAUAGCUCUUUCUUGAUUCAGUGGGUAGUGGUGCAUGGCCGUUCUUAGUUGGUGGAUCGAUUUGUCUGGUUAAUUCCGAUAACGAACGAGACUCUAGCCUAUUAACUAGGCGUUUUCCGGUGCCCCCGUCACCGGCGACAUUCAUUCUUCUUAAGGGGACAGGCGGCUUUUAGCCGCACGAGAUUGAGCAAUAACAGGUCUGUGAUGCCCUUAGAUGUCCUGGGCCGCACGCGCGCUACACUGAAGGAAUCAGCGUGUGCCUCCCUGGCCGAAAGGCCCGGGUAAUCCGCUGAACCUCCUGCGUGCUAGGAAUUGGGGCUUGCAAUUGUUCCCCAUGAACGAGGAAUUCCCAGUAAGCGCGAGUCAUAAGCUCGCGUUGAUUACGUCCCUGCCCUUUGUACACACCGCCCGUCGCUACUACCGAUUGAAUGAUUUAGUGAGGUCUUCGGACUGGCGGUA
rnacentral:rRNA from 1 species